UAUGGUCACGUGGGAGCGGAACAUAGUCACGUGUCGGCGCUUGCUCCGGUUCCCUUGGUCGUCUGUUACGCUGCUGCUUCGGGCCGCAUAACGGUUAGCAGCAUAGCAGACGACCGAGCGUACCAGAUGGAAUGCCAGGACGUAACGACGUUAUGUUACCACGUGACCACCUCCUACGUCAUAAUCGAACACACAUCCACAGCUCACCGGUAAAGAAACCGAAGAUGGUUCGUAGAUAUAGGGAGCCUUGAGGAAAAAGCCUGUCGGAGUGCAUCAAAUCUUUAUCGCACAGUGUGCUUCCAUGUGUCCGCUCUCAUCUCGACUUUGCCUAUCGCGUGCGGGCUUCGUUUAUUCACCCGCUGUUGAUUAGUGUCGUUUUCAUGUAGUGGCUCUGUGGUCGGGCGCAGUAACGAGAAAGAAAACAAAAAAGCACGUCUCGUUAUUUUUCCGAGGCCCUGCUUCCUUCGUUACAGUUUCCUCUGCGGCUGCUGCGGCGAUAGAGUGAGACGCGCGCGUAUUCACCGGUCUGGCGCCCACGGCGACUUCCGGGCGUGACGUCACUUCCGCCGGAAGAAGUGCGCGAAGGCGCCGUGGAAGUCGCCCGAUUACGUUUCGUAUACACGCUCGCGCCUUCUUCGGGCGGCGGUUGCAAGCUGCUGCACCCAUGUUGUUCGCAGGAGACCUUGACACGGCCGCGGCGCACUUGUCUGCACGUCCGUAUCUUCGUUCUCCAGGACAUUUCACAAAGUCGACGGAGCCAGCACGUGUUGCGUAUUCAUAUUUUUUUUUUAUCGCACCGCACUUCCGAGAAGGUGGAUGACCGAUCGGCCUCGGAACAUUGCAGGGGCGGCAGCCGUUGUAGACUCUUUCGGUUCUAUAUAGCCUUUUUUUGUGUUUUCGUUGUUGCUUGAAUGAGUACUAAAGAGUAAAACUAAAUCAGUGUAACGCUAUAGUAAAGUCAUACAAAUUCAUGUAUCUUGGCGGAAUAAGGUUUGUUAUUACUGGAGUCUAGCCAAUCACAUUAUCACGGCAAAAAAUGUUGGGAGGCCACAGCGGUACCAGAGCUUCGUCAUGGAUAACCGAAGGUUGUCUUCGAAUUGGCUUAGGAACUCGCUGUUGUACGUAGCCUAGUGGCUAUGGUGGUGUGCUGCUUAGCUCGAGGUCGCGGUGGCUGCAUUUCGAUGGGGGCGAAAUGCAGAACACGCUUUUGUACACCAAGAUUUGGGUGCAUGUUACAGAACCUCAGGUGGUCAAAAUUAACACCGUUCGGCCACGUACGCACCACUGUUUUGGGUGGCAAGUAUCGCGGACGCUAAAGAGAAAGGUUCAAAUUGGCCAGCAUGAUGAUGGUGACGAUUUAUUGGCGUCCCUUUUGAGGCGGCGCGGUGACAAAUAGUCACAUAUAGCCUGCUUGGGUUUCUCAGGUAUGCUGCUAUACGUGCUUUUCGUUCUAACAUUUUUGUAUACAUAUUUUCAAUCAUUUUUCUCUUCCUCAAAGUUUCUCUUUCUACCUUGUACCGCUACCUAGGCCUGCACCUAUGCCAAGAAUGUUCUGCAGGCAGCGGCGCCUGACGGCGAAAGCAAGAAACGCAAGGACAUUCGGUACCGUCGAUAUUGCGGAGCAGACGGUGAAAAAGCGAUGCCCGUCUGUUUGCUGAACGCGUAACUGGACCAACACGGUGUUACCUCUCGAUACAAAUGUUCAGCCGCACCCAGUGCGCUCAAUUCGGCGCGUUCGGUGGUGGCCGCUGCUGGCAGCGUAUACGUACUAUAUGGCAGUUCGAAAGCGUACUUCAAAAGCGAGCGCGAAGGGGCCUCGUGAUUGACAGUGUAGGUCACGGGCAACGCCACCUCGCGUACUCGUUCGAGAUGGUUCGCGUCGAAGGUGUACAAGAGCGUUGGUGGGGGAGGCCGACGGUUCGAGAGGCGUCGACGGGAGCAACGACCUCGGCCGAAGCUCUUCCAUCUGGAUUCGCUUUAUUUGUGUGCGUGUUUUUUUUGGUUUAGUGGGGUUCUCCUGAGCAAACGUGCCGAGCAUGGGCGACCUUGCAAAAUCCUCUCUGCUGACAGCAGUCUGGUCUGUUCAGCUGCCCCGGCUUGGCUGCGAGAAUGGAUUAUUUCUCUACCAAGACAGAUAAAUCUUGCAGGCAGAGGCAGUGUUAUAGAAGUAGUAGGAACGCAUUUGGCGCACUACCAAUACAUAGAGAGCACAUUCGUUGCAGUCGUUUGAAAACAGUGCAACGCUUUCACUGUAACGUUGCCGAUUGGUCAAAACUAGAGCGCAAUUACGUGCAGGUGGCACGUUUUCCGAGAUGACAGACGACCCGACCUGAGUGCUGUAGCCUCGCCCAACAAAAAUACGUCUGCUUCCGCUUAGGGUUCUUUCUGUAUACGGGCACGUCACAAAGCUCACCGCCGCUUCCUCGGCCAUCUUUGAGAACUCCUGACCGAGAACCAGAUACUAUAUGCCGCGAAUCGGACGGGUCACGAACAACCCGGUAUAGACGACUAGUUUAAGCAGACGGUAUAUUUGCAUCGCCGUAUAAGAUUGGCGUGAGCUCUAGCGGAAACCGAGAGAUCAUUCCGGAUGACUGCUUAGCAGACGUAACGUUUUUGAGAUACAGUUAUAAAUGACAACGUCCUCGUCUGCUUUAUCCGUGGAAAUCGAGCAGACGAUUCAGGAUUUUCGUCUGCACCGUCGCAUGCAGCCUGUGGCGCAACUAGUUUUUUUGCGCGGCCUUGCUAUGCCUGUCAUGCAGGUAACUUCCUUGCUAAGUGUCCCGGGCACGAGCCUGCCGGGUCACGAAUAAACGUGCCGACGGGUUUCUAUUAGUGUGUGCUACUGGAGGAGAAAUGCGUAUCAUUUGUUUCUGUGUCACUAUACGCAUGCGCAAUGGUACAACCUUAAGCAGAUGAAUGUUACGCGGAGAUGGAAAUAAGGCUAUGUAUGCGUGUACUGUGUGCUCCCUUCAGGGAACGUUGGAAGUGCCCGACGAAUGGGAGACUGAAACAACGGUUACUGAAAUCGCAAUGACCGACCGAAGUGUCCGCACUGUCUAUCUUCACCUCCGUUUUAUAGACUAUCCCCUCUGCCUUCAGCGUCGAGGUAACAGGUUGCUUUGUAACGAACGGCGCAUAAUAAGCAGACGGGUGGAUCUUUCGGUGCAGAAGUGAGCCGUCUGCAUCGACCGAAAUCGUUAAUCUUAAUGGUAAUCAGUUCCGCAUUAACAGUAAUCAUUAUGACUCGUUUCUUGUACUUUAGCGGUCGACAAGCACGGUAUAUCAGGUAACGUUAGGUUGCAUUUAGACAACCACGAGCAGCGACAGCGCCUAACGACAGGCGGCGCUUAUUCUGCGUUCCGCUGCGACGUGGUAAAACUGUGCAAAACGCGGUCCCGAAAACGAGUACUCGAUUUGUAUACAAAGUGAGGAGAGGCACGAUUCAGCGUUCUACAUCUGCCGUAUUGAUAAUAAAAAAUAAUAACAUAUUGCGGUGUGAGCGACGCGAGUGGUGAUGUAAGCGGUACUCUAUAUAUCGCAUAGCUACCAAUCUCAAGUUCUGAAACUGCCGCAGCCAGGGUAUUGAACGCGCGACCUCUUUCUGGGCAACAGAGGACGUUCGAUAGCACUCGCGGUGGGUAAUUACGGCCGAGGAUUGCCCAUAACUCCGUGUGGAAAUGGUUCUCUUCCUGAAAGGCGCCGUCAGUGAGCCUUUACGACGAAGCAAACGGCAAAAUGGAAUCGGCCGCGGAUUGAAAUAUUGUCGCCCGACUUGUUCCCGAGCGUGUACAUACAGAUUUCCAGCCCGUUCAAAACGUUUCCUGUCCGGCGUCUCGGAACAACCAUGGCGGCGCCAUAAACUCGCCUCCUUGAGCAAUCCUUGCCGACGGGUAUAGCGUGCGCAUCGCUAAGUACGGAACGCACGAAUUUCAGGCACCCAUCGAAGCGGGUCACGACCGCAAGAUCGUGCUGUUGCUGCGCCUUGCCGUGGCCGGAAUAAGGUACAACAUGGUGACGUCUGCACCUAUCUGUAGGAACCGGGAGAUCGAACAACAACGCCAUCAUGCGGCAGGUGCGAGCGUGGCCAUCAUCAUCCAUCGCGACGGCGUCAUUAUAACGCGCUCACCGCCACCACCAUAACAACCACUGCUAGCGUAUACUCCUGGUUGUAGAAUCGCGAAACAAACAAAACAAAAACAAAAAAAUUAUGAAAGAGCCCGCCUUCCUUUCGCUACAUCGCCGUCUGCAAGGCAUGUUUUUGAACGACUACACACAUUUGUCCGUCUGCUCCGGCCAACACGGAACAAUCAGAGACAGGCGUUUGAUUUUCAUGUCUCGGAAACAACUGCUUACAGGGGUCUCCGAAGCUGGCGCAUUCGACCUUGCGGCGCCAUCUUCCUCCGCUAAAUAUACUGGGCACGAACUUCUCAACGGGUCACGAUCAAUCGUGCCGCUAGCGACUUCUCCCCUUGCUCACCCCCCGAGCAGACGCGAUGAGGGGUCAGCAGCGACGUCGAACCAAGAGAUUACGUCACGACUGGCGGCGGCGUUCCCAGCGACCCCUGCCGGCAGUUGUACACAGCGCGUCCUUCGUUCGAACGCGUGUUUCUGGGCUGUGUGCGUGCGCACGCUGAAUCGUACGUAUAUACUUUGGAUUGGCGUAAGAAAAAAAAAAAAAAAAAACAGAAUAGAUAAUAAAAAGGCAAAGCCAAAUUCUUCUUUCGCAUGGGCCCCGAUACAAGCUACACGGAACGAACACGUCCUGUUGGUCGGCGGUCCUUUUUCUCGAAGAGAGAUUGUGGGUCGCGAAGAACCUCGUUCGGAAGUCGGAAGUUGUAGCAGACGACGCUUGUUGUUUGCAGUGGCAGACGACGACAAGAUGGCGUGCCGGGUGUAGACGGGUAGCUUUCGAGAUGGGGUUCGCCGCCUUCCCGAGCACAUGAUCGAGAAUGGCGAGCACGUCACCUUACGUUCUGCGUGAGGGUCAUGAUGUUGCACUUAGGAGGCGGUGGUGGCGCGCACGCUAUCGUUGAUAUUCUUUGCUUUCGGUUUUUUUUUUCUUUUCUUCUCACAGCUGGGUUCUUGUUGCGUAGAUACUGAGGCAAUCGAGAGGGCGAGGAAUUCCAGCUGUGUCGAGUUAGAAAUAUUCAAGGGAGAUGAUAGUGCAUGGUACCGUCGGCUGAUACUGUUGGCUUCCCAGCCGAUAAGCAAAAGCUUGUUUUACAGCUAAUGAGUGCUAUUUUAUUUUAUGGAUGUAUUUAUUUCUCGUUCCCAAGAAGGUCGCAUUGACACGACGCUCGUUUUGUCGCCGACUGCAGGCAAACGUGUGGCUUUGUUGAAUUAAAUAACGUACGCGUCCACAUGUAACUAUUCCCACCGCAGAGAUACAAGAGGCUUUUAUUGAAAUAACCAGUUUUAACAUCGCGGAGACCUCAAGUUCCCACAGUACGGUAGUAAAUGCACUGCUCUAUAACGAAUCAAGAAAAAAUUUACAGAUAAAUAACAGAAAAACCAAGUAACACAGUCAACAAGCAGCUUUAUCAUCGUGUGAGAGGUUAAGCUUCCGAACAGUGCGUGCGUUUGUGCCUAGUCCUAGUCGGCGAACACACAUUUCUCUCAGAGAAUAUUACUAAUUCGCUUGUGUUGGCUGGUGUUGUACGAUGCUUCGUCUAAAACGUGGAUAUGGCUGCACAUUAUAAUGGGUUCGUAAAAUAAAAUCUUCAUAAAGGGUUUUCGUUCACCCGUAUUACAUCUCUCGAUAAAGUUUACUCACCUACAAUUUAUAAUCAAGCGAAGAGACGCAAGAACAGACGACAAACCGUUCCACAGCGAGCGCGAAUCUGGUCGUCUGUCCUCCAGCUUUAGCGGCCCGCUGAUACAUCUUACGUUUCAUAUCAUUGUACAUCCAAUCACGAGUACUCAUAAUUAAACAAAAGAUGUGUUUGUGCAAUAAUAAAGCUUGUACAGCUAUUUAAGUGCUGCUUUAGUAUAGGAAAUGAAUCAUUGUGACAGGCGGAACGAUGCUAGCCAGGCGCGUCUUGAAGGUGUCCUGGCUCUCCGAGAACGAUGUCAAUCCGAAGUCACGAUAUACCGGCAUUACCAUGCAUACCACAGCGCAGCAGCGCCAGACUUCUCUCUAGGUAAUAUAGUGAGGAACUCUAUAGACGAUACAAUUUCGCUCACGUUGAGAAGAAACUGUGCAUUUUAGCACACGGCAACACGGGCUUUUCCAGAGGGAACCAGCGUAGCCGAUUCCAAUGCUUAUUUGUCCGACAAAGGGCAUUUGAAUGCGGGCCGGGUGCAAGAACGUCAGGUAUACUGCCAACCGUUGUUACUCUUUCUACAGGCGAGUCCUUCUUGUUUCUAUUGAACAUGCGGCACAACUUAAACUUACGCAGUCUUUUUUUUUUUUUUUUCUUGGGUGACGUGCGACAACACAUGCAUUACCCUGACGUCACCGGUUAGCUUUGCCGUGGUCACCCUUCUCGAACGAGGAAUGAAAAUACGGUUUUCUCAAAAUGCGUUGAGCUGAAUGUCGUAUAACCAACGCAGGUUUUCCUCUUUUAAGAAACGAACGAAGUCGCUAAGCCGCCAUCAUUAAUCAGUCCGUGGGAGCAUAAUUGAAUGAACGCGCUCUUCGAGGCCGGUUAUAAGCCGAGCGUGCCUAUAGGUUUCACUAUCACAGUGCCCCUCUCAUCAGCGCCCCCCCCCCCCCCCCCCCCCUCCUUUGCCCUCCGUUCAACCAGUUUCUUUUUUUCUUCUGUUCGUAUCGGCGUUUGUUUGGUUGUUUACCGCGGACAUUCCGUACCUAUACCCGUGAGUGUAGUUUGGCGCCAAGCAGCAGCGAAGUUUUCUCGCUCAGAGGGAUUCUGUAUUCAACACACGUAGGCGAUUUUCAGAAGCCACGCAUACGCUUCCAAGUCGUGCAGACAUUCAGGUUUAGAAGCACGCGUCUAGUGCCAGUGCCUAAGGUAAAACGAUUUGCGGAACAAGGAAUAAACAAAAGAUCUUCGCUCGACCGACUCGCAAGUUAGAAGCGCAAGGCAGAUAUGGCUUUGGAACUUUCGAAAAUUGACUGACCAGGUAGCCAGACCAUCAACAUCAUUCAUUAGUUGAAUAUCCGUAGUAUGCAGGUACCCGUGAUUUCUGUGUGUGCAUGCUCUCGUAUGCAUGAGAAUUUUUGGAUAUACACGCAUAAUUAUGUAAAGUGCCUCUGUUACGUCAUAUUGUACGUAACCACUGUGUACAUUGUAUAUAUUCAGCGUCACCUUAUAUAAUGUAACAAUUAGUUUAUGUGUAACGGUGCGUUUCUGUGGGUCUAUGUGGUUAUAUAUGUUAGUGAAGCCACGUGGACUAACAUUUCUUCGAAAACGUGCCGUGCAUACUAUACUCAGUACUUUGUAUAUGUUAUCGUCCGGGUGGAAUUGUGCCGUCAUUGCGACUCCAAAGUGUUCAUAUCGUCUUUUGUCGAAAUAAGCUUUUUCUAAACAGAUGCAUCCGUUCUGUAGAGAUGAUUGGCGACUUGAAUGCGAUUAGCAAUCUUUCUUAUGGGUGCUGCGUAAUUUUUGAUGGUAUGUUUCAUACGAUAAUGAUUGUGAAGAGCGACCCAAGUUGGUCCGACCGUUGAUAUUCUAACUCGGUUCCCUCAACAUAGCCGCCCGAUGACCCAUCUGUUAAUGGACUACCCAGUGCCCAAGUUAGCGGGAAAAAGGUUAGGCGUGGACAUUUAUACAUACCUAGAGACAUAACGCAAACUUUGUGAACGUUCCAAAGAAUGCUAAUCGCAUUAAAAUAUACGCACUACACACUGUGGGAAUCGAUGUUAUGCGAAAGAAUUUUGUCGGUAGCUGGCUACCGAGCAUUGUUUGGGGUUACGCAAGGCAAAUCCCCUGGUGGACCAACUUGUUUGUGUCAUAGUUGCCUGCAAUAAUUAGUGAUUGCGUGAACCUCUAUGGGUUGUGUAAUACGAGCAACCACGUUGUGUGCAACGACAGCUGAAGCAAGACGGUGUCUGCAUAAUUUGUACUGCGACCGUUUUGUGCUCCGGCCGUUUUGAGACAUGCCGAUUGGCGAGUUCUGCAUAGGUACUGGACGGGCGUAUAAGCGAGUGAAGCACGGAUUGUGACGUCAUCAGCGACGUGAUAUCCGGGACGUCACAAGCGACGUGCCGGCGCUCGGGUUUUGGCGAGCAAUUCAGAAAGCGUUUAAUUUUGACCUUCAUUUUCUCUCCUAAUAAUCAAUCUACUAUAGCGAAACAAACUAUAAUGGUGUCUUGAAGAAAAAACUUAUCAGUAUUAACUAAUUUCGUGUUCAGAAGAGUGCUCCGAAAAUUUGCGCUAUACAAUUUUAGUUCAGAUCCGUACGAACAAAAAAGAUAAAAAGCGAGAUAAACCAUCGAAGGAUGACUAUCAAAGUCAAAAGACAGCUUCUUGGUAACCCUCCUGAUAUAUGCUACUGAGGACACUUAUUGACUAACUCUACAUAUUGGUUAAUAUUUUGAGUUGUGUAGCUGAUGUGACGUUGCACUGGAUUCAGAAUCGGCGCCCGUUACAAACCGCAUUUUAGAAGGCUAUAGCGAGGACGCGCGACGUGUACGUGGUAUCGGGAUGGGCACACCGAGUUGGAAGCUUUUAUUUUUCUUUUGUUCCCCAUAUGCCUUGUGGCAAAUCCUCCCGGAAAAAAAAAAGGAAAAAAAAAAAGAGUCACGACCCUUGAUUACGCUGUAUCCGAGAGCGACCCAGUUAAGUCGGCCAUAGCAGCCAUUCACGCAAAGUGGAGGGAAGCGUCAAAGAAAGCGUCACUUAGAAAAAAAAAGUACCGCAGUUGACCUUUAAGUGCAGUCUGCAUAGUAAAUUUGCGUAACAAUACCUCUGCUCUGUCCUGCCAUCCGCGAGCUGGUCAGCGCGAACAGGAUGGAAGAGAACUCGCGUCCUUUUAAAGAACGACGACGAGGUACCCGAAAACGGAGAGCCAUUAACGCCAACGCGUUCGAGUGAACGGCCGAUGCAUGUAUGACGCGCUGACUAUACGGCAGCCCUUAGUGCGUCUUUAAGAGCAUUUGUUAUCUUUGUUCGUCGAGCUUGCUCGAGUCAAGCGCGCGUGGCCGCGUUUUUACUUGGUCGUCACCCCCGAACGAAUGUGGGGCACGGUCAGUGCUUAAAUAUCUCUGCUUCGCUCUUUCUUUUUUUAUUUUCUACCCUUUUCUCUAGCUACGAACGAAGAUGUUAUCGUCUUCACCGUGUCAUUUUUUUUUUCGCGAUGCCGAUUGGCUUCUGGUGUUUUUCUUUCGUCUUCCGUCUUCGCAGCGGCAGAAGGAGCACUUCGGAACAGACGACAGGUUGAUGAGCAGACGAAAAAGGCAGGAGCAGUUCGGAGCAUUUGAGGCUUCGGUGCAGACGACAGGUUGGCUAUCGUUUUGAAGACGCACAGACGACGCAUUUCAGAAGACUAAUGCUAUAAUUAGGCAAAUUACGAGGCGUCGGUGAAACGACAGAUAUCCUGAGCAGACGAUGGCUUGACUGCUAGCGACGAUCAGCUGAAAUGGGUUGCGUCGGCGAAAUGGAACAGACGACGCGCCAUAGCUCCUCUUGUUUUCAUGCUUAUGUCCAAGCAAACAUCCUCGCUAGUGACACACUGAGCUGACUUUCCUUUGAGAGGAGACGAUAGAUUCGCUAGCGAUCUGACAACGACCGAGAAGCAGGGCGACGCACUCGGGUGAUUAAUAAACUGGGACAGCUCACCGCGCGGGUCGAACAGACGAUAAAGCCAAAGUGUGCGUAUACCAUAAUCUUGACCAGAGGAUGGAUGAAGUGCGAACGAAGUCCCAGGCCCAGGCGACAGUUAAGGCUUAGAUAAAAUGGGUUGGGAGAACGGCAAUCAACGCAGACGACGUCGUCUGGCGAAAGCGCAGACGAAUGCGUAAGCAGCAACGCACCCGCAAAUGUCGUCCGCUAGCGUGACCGCAAACGAGAUCGUCUGCGAGACUUUUCCCACGACGUUGGCCGUUGAUGACAGCUCGGAACGAGCUCGUUGCAAGACUCGUAAGCGUGCGAACUUGGGAAUGCGAUUGCGGACAUCUUGCUCGUCUGCAUCCAACGUGGCCUUCUUCGCGUUUCUCGGCACGAGUUCUUUCUUUUCAUUCGGGGCUUUCUUUGUUCGUCGGCAAUCCUUGGCCCGAACACGAAACAGGAGGAAAAACAAGGGAAAACGCUGCGAAACUGCUUUGACCCACAAAAAGGAAAGGUGAUCAUAAUGCCUCCCCGCGGCCAACCAACCUACUUUACUUUCAGUGGAUAAAAUCCAGCAUACGACACAAACACCGAGGUUCUAGCUGACGAAUAGUGUCUCACACGAAAUGCAGGGAAACGAAAUGCGCCGGCUACAAGCGACACAGCUGCAACGCGAUCGUCUGUUCGCACAGAGAUGUCAAAGCGGGCAGCAUAAAAAAAAAAAGAAAAAAAGAAAACGAACUUAUUCGUCAGAAAGUUGUCAAGAGUCUGAUAUCUAUAUCAGUCGCGCUUGACGAGUCAAUGUGAGAGUUUCCGUUCCACAAAACGAGAGUACGAACUGCGAUGUCACUUUCACAUACGGCAGGUGUAUAUGGCGUACCACGCGCCGCGAACCCAUUGCAGACGUGCAUGCGCCGUCUGCUACUCACAAUACUAGCGCCGUCUGCUACUCACAAUACCAACGUCGUCUGCAUCACAAAUUACGCAGCGUGGCCGCAUACGAACAUCGUCCGCACAACAAAGGUACUAUACAGCGCGCCUGCUCCCUCGCACUUUACCCUAAUCACUCUGCCUUCUUGGUAUUCCAAUGUCCUCCUGCUCUUGUUUUCUCGUGUUCAUUCCUUUAAUGGAAUACGUUAUCGCGCGCUAACUUGCCGAGGCCGAAACAGCGCGCCGGACAACGCCCAUCGCGAGUCGGUCACACUGACCGCGCAUCUGAAAUAAAGCCCAGCCACAGCUUUAUGGCAGAGACGCGUGGAAGGUGGCCCUAUUAGCAACCCCUUCGGGGCUUCCGUAUACCAGCUAGGCCUAAUGCCUUUCCAUUGUUAACGACGUAUAGGCGGCGCGGCAGGCCUAUCUUUUAGAGUGUGCAUUUCGCGAAAGGCGUGGACCGCGCCUCCUUUGGCAAUCUGCCGCGCAGGAAACGAAAAAAAAAGAAAAAAAAAGGGGACGGACGGUGUUGUUUCGUGCCGUGCAUCAGCGCAAAUGGAGGGUGUGCGCAUGCCGCUGACGACGCCUUUGUGGUAGCAAUCUGGUAGGCCUAACGCGAACGCCCCCACAAUGGUGAAAUGAAGCGCGGCGUGAACUUCCCACCAACACACGCCGACGCGCGCUAUAUGCGGAAACCGGGAAUCACGAGCUGUAGUGUCGCAAAUUCCUUAGAAUGCCAUUCCGCUUUUUCCUUUUCUUUUUUCAAAGACGAGUAACGUGUUACAGGGAAGUCAGGUUUGAAGAUUUGGCGUGGUUACGCAAUCCGCGAAGUCUCACUUUUCCCCCGUUGCCUCCAUUUUUGUGGCAUCGCAUGUACGUACUAUCCUGUAAGAACCCGCGUCACCUUCUAUAUAAGCAGCGCCUAUAACAGUGAGACAUUACAUUUGUCUCUGCAACCUGCUAACUCCUCAGGUACCGCGCCUUCUUGCAAGGAUAUGCGGCUUCGGUAUAGCUCAAUGGCUAUAUGGCAUUGCGCUAAUGAUUCUGGCCGCAUUCCGAUGGGGGCGGAAUGGAAAAAAAAAGCCUUCGUGUACCGUGCGUUGGAUGCACGUUAAAAGAACCACAGGUGGUCAGAAUUGAUCCAUAGAGAGUCCCCACUAAGGCGUGCUUCAUAAUCAGACCGUAGUUUUGGCACGGAUAAAUCCAGAGUUUAUUACGCGGGUCCUCUUCUGCUCUCGGCGUGUUCUCGUCGAUUGCGAUCUCCGAUAGGUGUCGUGCCGUGUCCCCCGCUGCAGCGACACCUAGUGCCUUGAGCAUGCAUUUGCGCAGUGAGCGGCUGUCUUCACACCAGUGACGCUACCUGAUAUGUACACAGCCGCGACCGUGCCAGUUCUACUUAAUAUGCGACCAAAUAACACUCUUGUUAUUAUUAUUAUUAUUAUUAUUAUUAUUAUUAUUAUUAUUAUUAUUGUUUGAUCACGUGAGACCAAUAAAUACUUAAAAAAACAAUUGUACCGAAAUAUAACAGGAGAACCUUGUUUGACGUGCCAAUGUGAUCGGAGAAAACAGUAUACUGUAAGUGCGAUUUUACGGUAAUUUCGUGGUCUACGACCUUCUAUCGGGCCUUCGCGUUGUGGGCAGUACGCAGUUAUAAUUCCUCCCUCGAAAGUGAAGAAGAAAAAAAAAAGAGAGAGAGAAA